GUCUACGUGAUGAUCAUAAUAUAUAUCACGACGGUCUCCUGAGCCAUAUGCUUUGAUGACACUGCCUUUGACAAGGCCUCUUACUGAUU
rnacentral:snoRNA from 1 species